ACGCUAGCGAUAGGCUUAACACAUGCAAGUCGAGGGGCAGCAUGGUCUUAGCUUGCUAAGACUGAUGGCGACCGGCGCACGGGUGCGUAACGCGUAUGCAACUUGCCUCACAGAGGGGGAUAACCCGUCGAAAGACGGACUAAUACCGCGUACACUCCAGCUUGGGCAUCCAAGCUAGAGGAAAUGAAAUUCGCUGUGAGAUAGGCAUGCGUCCCAUUAGCUAGUUGGUGAGGUAACGGCUCACCAAGGCGACGAUGGGUAGGGGAACUGAGAGGUUGAACCCCCACACUGGUACUGAGACACGGACUAGACUCCUACGGGAGGCAGCAGUGAGGAAUAUUGGUCAAUGGGCGAGAGCCUGAACCAGCCAAGUCGCGUGAAGGAUGACUGUCUUAUGGAUUGUAAACUUCUUUUAUACGGGAAUAACAAGAGCCACGUGUGGCUCCCUGCAUGUACCGUACGAAUAAGCAUAGGCUAACUCCGUGCCAGCAGCCGCGGUAAUACGGAGGAUGCGAGCGUUAUCCGGAUUUAUUGGGUUUAAAGGGUGCGUAGGCGGCCUGUUAAGUCAGCGGUGAAAUCUAGGAGCUUAACUCCUAAAUUGCCAUUGAUACUGGCGGGCUUGAGUGUAGAUGAGGUAGGCGGAAUGCGUGGUGUAGCGGUGGAAUGCAUAGAUAUCACGCAGAACUCCGAUUGCGAAGGCAGCUUACUAAGGUACAACUGACGCUGAAGCACGAAAGCGUGGGUAUCAAACAGGAUUAGAUACCCUGGUAGUCCACGCAGUAAACGAUGAUAACUGGGCGUAUGCGAUAUACAGUAUGCUCCUAAGCGAAAGCGUUAAGUUAUCCACCUGGGGAGUACGUCGGCAACGGUGAAACUCAAAGGAAUUGACGGGGGCCCGCACAAGCGGAGGAACAUGUGGUUUAAUUCGA
rnacentral:rRNA from 1 species